rnacentral:rRNA from 1 species
UACGGGGGGAGCAAGCGUUGCUCGGAUUUACUGGGCGUAAAGGGCGCGUAGGCGGCAAAUUAAGUCAGCUGUGAAAUCUCCGAGCUUAACUCGGAACUGUCAGCUGAUACUGAUGUGCUAGAGUGCGGAAGGGGCAAUCGGAAUUCUUGGUGUAGCGGUGAAAUGCGUAGAUAUCAAGAGGAACACCUGAGGUGAAGACGGGUUGCUGGGCCGACACUGACGCUGAGUGCGCGAAAGCCAGGGGAGCAAACGGG